UUUUUCUAAUUUGAAAUUGUCAAACAAUUUGAAUGGUUUUCAUUGUGCAAUUUGGCUUAAUGUUUAUUAUUGUUGAACUAGGUAUCAUUUCAUGUUCUAAUAACAAACAUUAAGGUUGUUUGGAGACCAAGUUAACUGUGUUAGUUAUGCAAACAGAAUACUCUCUUUGGGCAAAUCUGAGAAGACGAUACCUCUUCUUGAAAAGAGUCUCUCCGCAUCUAUGUAUAUUAGUGUAGGCAAUGAAAGCAUGCAAAAGCUUUUCAUCCCUCAUUCCAUUUUGAAGCCUAAAGAAGCACAUUAACUAUUUUGAGGCAAUACCAUGCAAUUUGAAGCAAGUGGACUUCUGGCUGUGCUUGUGUCUUUACAUGAACUUGGAGUCGAAGCCAUGGAGCCGAUUCGAGAUUGAGUCCGGGAAUGAGAAGCGUGAACAACUUUACCUCUGGGAGACAAGUGAGCUUGCUCUAAUACCUUGUUCUGAAGCUCUUGUGGAUAAUCUCUCAUGCAACCAAUUCGAGGUUUGAUUUAGGAACCAUGAAUUCCUCUUCUGAUAAAAAGGAUUCUUCAGCUGUUUCGUAGCCGUCGUCCGAGGGAGAAUCCGGAAUGCGAGCUCUGCAACUAGGUGGAAGUGUUUCCUUCUUGAAUAUGUCAAACACAUUGCUUCUUUCUGGUAUUUGAAGUAUGGUCCUUAGAAUCUUCUUGAAGACUGAUGCAUUUGUCCUUGGAAGAUAAUGGCCACUGUGAGGCCAAACUGCCUAUAAGUUAAGGGGAAAGGAGAAAAAGGAGAUAUAGCACGUUAGGAUGAUGAAUGACGUGAAAGGCACGAGCACUUAAAAGGGAUAUCUCAGAGGAUGGAUGGGCUUACAGGACCAAGAUAUUUGAUACAUUGUUGAUGAAGCUUAAGUCUGGGGCAUCUCUCAAGGUUCACCUCUUUCCCUUCUCCUAUAUCAAGCCUAAUAUAAAGAGGAUUGUUAGAGUUAAUGAUAUUUAUUUUCGUUUGUUAAGCAUAUUUAGAAAUUAGAUACCCAUUUUAUCUUACCAAUAGAAAAAGGGCUGUUUGCUAUCACAGUGGAGCCAUUUGACGUAGUAAAAUUGAAGAUUAUGGCCGUAGCGAUGUCUAGGAUCAAUCUGUUUACGAGAAAGAAACACUAUCACCUAAAAGAAGACAUUAUAGUCCUAUUCAAACCAUGUCUCGAGAGGGGACUUACUGCCUCGAGCCAAUGCUGUAAAGCAAGUUUCCUGGCUUUUUCAUCCUUUGACAAACCUUUCCCUACCUACGGAAGAAGUUUGUGUUAAGAAUGCACAUUAAAGGUUGAAUAUAUUAUAACUAAAAGUUUUUGGAUCAA